rnacentral:rRNA from 1 species
AUUGAACGCUGGCGGCAGGCCUAACACAUGCAAGUCGAGCGAGCGUCGGACGGGUGAGAAAUGUAUGUGGACUGCCAGAGAGGGGGGGAUAUCAACUGGAAACGGUAGCUAAUACCGCAUACUAUCGGAUAACCCAUAGAGGAUUAGCUAGUAGGGGAGGUACUGGCCCACAGAGGCGACGAUCCCUAGCUGGUCUGAGAGGUUGAUCAGCCACACUGGGACUGAGACACGGCCCAGACUCCUACGGAGGCAGCAGUGGGGAAUAUUGCACCAUGGGCGCAAGCCUGAUGCAGCCAUGCCGCGUGUAUGAAGAAGGCCCUCGGGUUGUAAAGUACUUUCAGUCGGGAGGCGUUACCGACAGAAGAAGCACCGACUAACUCCGUGCCAGCAGCCGCGGUAAUUC